UAGGGAAUCUUCCGCAAUGGGCGCAAGCCUGACGGAGCAACGCCGCGUGUGUGAAGAAGGUCUUCGGAUCGUAAAGCACUGUUGUUAGAGAAGAACGACCGCUAGAGUAACUGUUAGCGGAGUGACGGUAUCUAACCAGAAAGCCACGGCUAACUACGUGCCAGCAGCCGCGGUAAUACGUAGGUGGCAAGCGUUGUCCGGAUUUAUUGGGCGUAAAGGGAGCGCAGGCGGUGACUUAAGUCUGAUGUGAAAGCCCACGGCUCAACCGUGGAGGGUCAUUGGAAACUGGGUCACUUGAGUGCAGAAGAGGAAAGUGGAAUUCCAUGUGUAGGGGUGAAAUGCGUAGAUAUAUGGAGGAACACCAGUGGCGAAGGCGACUUUCUGGUCUGUAACUGACGCUGAGGCUCGAAAGCGUGGGGAGCAAACAGG
rnacentral:rRNA from 1 species